AGGUUGCUGCUUCCCACGGUUUGGACUCACCUGGAGCUGCGUUUUCUCUCUCCUCCUUGCCUGCCUGCCCACACUCUGGCUGUAGUGCUGCUGUCAGUGAAACCCUCUGCACUCUCGAAAUACCGUGGACCUCCCCUCCUCAGAGCUUUCAAAGCACAGACCUGCAAAGCCAAAUUACAGUGUGGCUGAUCAUGAGUUGUUGACAGUGAAGCUGGCACGGGAGGAAUGGAGGCAACUAUUCAUGGUCUGAAUACCAGAUCUUUCCCGGACCUUUCCCUGCCUGCCUGUCAUCCCAUGGACGAAUGAGUGGAUUGUGUUUCCCCAGUGUGGGGAGUGAAGAGAGAGAGCCUUUGGAGGACGUCAGAUUCCCGUCUUUCCCCUCACACACCCCGGAACCCUGGACCCCCC
ensembl:lncRNA